GAUGAAGAACGUAGCGAAAUGCGAUACUUGGUGUGAAUUGCAGAAUCCCGUGAACCAUCGAGUCUUUGAACGCAAGUUGCGCCCGAAGCCACUAGGCCGAGGGCACGCCUGCCUGGGCGUCACGCGCCGUUGCCCCCCCAUCUACUCCUUCGGGAUUGCGGGGGGGCGGAUGAUGGCCUCCUGUGCGCCUAGCCGCGCGGUUGGCAUAAAUACCAAGUCCUCGGCGACGCACGCCACGACAAUCGGUGGUUGCGAAACCUCGGUUGCCCGUCGUGUGCGUUCGUCGCGCAUCGAGGGCUCGAAAAAAUGCUCGGCUCCGGCUGGGCUUUCAACGCGACCCCAGGUCAGGCGGGGUUACCCGCUGAAUUUAAGCAUAUCAAUAAGCGGAGGA
rnacentral:misc_RNA from 1 species